CUGGUCUUGAACUCCCGAUCUCAGGUGAUCUGCCCGCCUCGGCCCCCCAAAAUGAUGGGAUUACAACCAUGAGCCACCGCGCCCAGCCAUCCUUGAUAUUUUGAAUUGAGAAAUACGGAGCAUGUUAAGCUGAUGGCAGCCUGGGGAAUGCCAGAAAUAUGCUCAGUUACAGGGUUGCAGAGAGUCCUUGUGGGCAAGCCACAUCACGAAUGACAAGCUAUGAGGCAAAGGGAACACAAAACUCACGGGAAUCCAGGGUGAAGCGUUCUGAUGAGACAAUGUCUCUGGCGAGUUCUGUCUAAUGAAGAAUGAUCAGCUUGAACACUCUCCGAAGGGCAAGAUCAGCCCUGACUUAUAAUAAUUAUAUCUCAAUACUCUCACACCCCAAGGUGGGCUUGUGGGAGGGAGCCGUACAUAAAGAUGCUUUCAACAGAUUGCCCAGAAGUGCCAAGAAAGCCACUGUCCCCCUUGUUGAGUCCUACUCAUCUUCCCAGGCCCAAGCCCAGUGGCAGAACAUCUCCACGAAGUUCCCAAACAUCGGAAGCCCCUCUCCUGACUUCCAGCAUCUCACAAGAAAGUCAGCUCCAGCUUAGCACUUAGCCUCUUCUCCCCUGACAAGCUGACAAGCUGACCGUCUGUCUAGGACGACAUUUGUGUUUUGACUAAAAGAAUCAGCCUCCCUGAUUAACAUUUGCCACAGUCGUCACCAAGUAUGGUGCUGUCUUUUAUUGUCCUAAAAAGUAUUCUGUGCCUUCUACAUUACGCUUGUGUCCUUAAAAUUCUAGCAGAAAUUUUUAGUAUAGUUUGCACACUGGGUAGAAUUUAUCUUCAUUGAUAGUUUCCACACUCAACAUUCCCUAUUUGUUUUAUUUAUUUAUUUAUUUAUUUAUUUAUUUAUUUAUUUAUUUAUUUUGAGACGGAGUCUUGCUCUGUCACCCAGGCUGGAGUGCAGCGGCGCAGUCUCGGCUCACUGCAACCUCCACCUCCCA
rnacentral:lncRNA from 10 species